UUUAAGAAAAGCAUUUUCCAUUAAAAGAAUGCUUUCAUGUGAUAAUGCCGGGGAAGGUUUUCCGGUUUAUCCCGGAGGGCUUGUAGCUCAGUUGGUUAGAGCGCGCGCUUGAUAAGCGUGAGGUCGGAGGUUCAAGUCCUCCCAGGCCCACCAAUUAUCCAUCCAUAGAAAAGCGCUUAGAAAGUUUGACUGUUAACAGGUCAACGUUGUUUUGUAGGACGCCAAUAUUGUCUUGAAAAAGAGCUUUCUUGUAAAGUUUGAGAAAACUUGUUUAUCGCUUUUUGUAAGAUGUGGUGUUUGUCUGCUUUUAAAGCGAUCGAAACUGAAAGUGUUUCAAAGAUAAGAGUCUUGGAACAGAAGAGUCUUGGAAUAGAAAAGAAUAUAAAGUCUAGGUGGUAUUACAUAGUCUAGAGUUAAAUUGUUCAUGAUUGGAACAUUUCAUAUUGAAAUGCUGCGAUAUAAAGGUUUCGAAUAAAUUAUUCCGUUUUGGGGCCGUAGCUCA
rnacentral:tRNA from 1 species